GGAGGGGAGGCGGCUCCCUCCGUGGGAAAGGCGCAGGUGCCUCGCAGGUGACGCCUGGCCCCCUCGCGCGCGCAGAGCCUCGCCGGAGGCGGAAAGCGCGCGUCGCAAAACUAGCGGCAAAGCAAAGCCCUGGAGAUGAGGGGAAACGGCAACCUCUCCCACCUGUCGACUCCAUUCAUCGCUCUUUGGGAGCAACUUGAGUCGCUUCUGGAGUGAGAGAAUUGGCUGUCUGCAAGGACGUUGCCCAGGGGACGCCCGGAUGUUUUGAUGUUUUUACCAUCCUUGUGGGAGGCUUCUCUCAUGUCCCCGCAUGGAGCUGGAGCUGAUAGAGGGAGCUCAUCCGCACUCUCCCCGGGUGGGAUUCGAACCUGGCAGCUUUCAGGUAAACAAGCCAGAAAGGAAAGCUCUAUGUGACAUCCAAACCCAAGUUCUAAAGACGACAGGACUGUAUACUACCGGUCUUGUAACAAUCAUCCAAGAAAAAGUUCAAAGAUAGAAAUGGUAUAAACGCAUCUUACCAUACUUUGCUUGGAGGCAUCUGGACAAGUAUUGCGCAAUUUGUGUUCUUCUUUAAUGAGAACUGGUGGAACCUAAAUCAUUAACAUACAUUUGAACUGUUAUCAAUUUAGAACCAAUAUUCACUUUUCCAGUGGCACCUUCAUUCCACAUGACCAAAACCACAGUAAGAGAAUGUCACAUUCUGUCAUAAGGUAUAAAAUUGAUUCUUUUUCCUUUGGUGUGUUGUUGUGUGCUUUCAAGUCAUUCCUGCUUCUUGGCAGGGGGUUGGACUGGAUGGCCCGUGAGGUCUUUUCCAACUCUAGAUUCUAUGAUUUCUUGGUUAUGGUGACUACUUGCCAACUCUAUCACGGAGUUUUAUUGGCAAGAUUUGUUUCGAGGGAGUUGUCAUUUCUUUUCUUACUCUUAGACUGCUUUCCUUUUGCAGGGAGUGGGGUGGGGGUGGAAACAUACAUUUGCCAACAGACAUUUGGGGAAUUAUCAGAGGUAGGCUGCUGGGGAUUGUGAGUGGGAUUGGGGGCGCUUUUUAAUUGUAAUUGUGUUUUAAUUGUUAUGUUUCAUGACACAAAGAUGUAAUUUUUUUAUUAUUAUUACACUCAUACCUAUACACGUUUUCUUUGUUUUUAAUUUGUAUUGUGUCAGGUGAAAGGCAGGAUAAAAAUAAA